GCAAUUCUCCCGUCUUGGCCUCCAAAACUGCUAGCAUUACAGGCUUGAGCCAUUGCACCCAGCCAAUAGAUCACUUUAAAUUCAUCUUCAAGAAUGGUUCUAAAGCUUUACAACCAUGUAAUUUGUUCAAAUUGUUUUUUGUUUCUAUAAAGGCUCAAGGUUGACCAACACUUAAAACACUAUGACAUAGAGUAGGAGAAAAUAUUUGCAAAAGACAUAUCUGAUAAAGGACAGCUAUCCGAAAUAUGCAAAGUAUUAGAACUCAACAAUAAGAAAAGCAACAACCCCACUAAAAAACAGGCAAAGGACCAAAGGAACAACCCCACUAAAAAAUAGACAAAGGACCUGGACAGACACCUCACCAAAGAAGAUAUGUGGAUGGCAAAUAUGCAUGUGUAAGGAUCCUGAAAAUGAUAUUGCAUUAGGAAAUUGCAAAUUAAUGCCACAAUGAGAUAUUGUUACACACUUAUUAUAAUGGCCAAAAUCUAAAACACUGACAACAAAUGCUGAUGAGAAUGUGCAACAAUAGGAACUCUCAUUCAUUGCUGAUGGGAAUGCAAAAUGGUACAGCUACUUUGGAAGACAGCUGGGCAAUUUCUUACAAAAGCUAAACAUACUUUUACCAUACACUCCAACAAUAGUGCUCUUUGGUAUUUACUCAAAUGAGUUGAAAACCUGUGUCUACACAAAAACCUGCACACUGAUAUUUAUAACAGCUUUGUUCAUAAUUGCCAAAAUUUAGAAGCAAUCAAGAUGUCUUUCUCUGGGUGAAUGGGUAAAUAAAUUGUGGUACAUCCAGAAAACAGAAGAUUAUUCAAAACUAAAAUGAAAUUGGCUAUCAAGCCAUGAAAAGACAUGGGGAAAACUUAAAUGCAUAUUGCUAAGUGAAAGAAGCCAAUCUUAAAAGGCUAUGUACUGUAUGAUUCUAACUAUAUGACAUUCUGGAAAAUGCAAAACUAUAGAGACAGUAAAAAGAACCGUACUUGCCAAGGGUUAAGGAGGAAUGAGAGAUAAGUAGAUGGAACAUGGAGGAUUUUUUACAACAGUGAAACUAUUGUUUAUGAUACUAAAAUGGUGGAUACAUGUCCAAAGCCAUAGAAUAUAAAACGUCAAGAAUGAACUCUAAUAAGCUAUGGAUUUUGGAUGAUAAACACGUAUAAAUGUAGUAUAAAUGUAGGUUUGUUGAUUGUAACAAAUGUACCACUUUCUUGUAGGAGACUGAUAGUUGUCUACAUGUGUGUGUCAGGGGGUGCAGGGUAUAGAUGGGAGCUCUCCGUACUUUGUACUCAAUUUUGCUGUGAACCUAAAACUUCUCUAAAAGAUAAAUUUUAUUUUGAAAAACACCAUCAUACACUAAAACUUUUUUGUCCUUAUUUGGUAAUGCUUACAAAUAGAAUUUUAUUAAAAUUAUAUUUAAACGUAGAGUCAAAAGAUAUGCAUGUUUUAGUGAAAUAUCUUCUAUUAUUAUUACUAUCAUCAUAGUUAUUAUUAUUUGACUUGGAAAUCCUCAGUAGACAUUAUGAAUUUAGAGAUCAGUAAUGUUCAUUUUGAAAAAGACAUAUAAAUCGCUUUUGUGUCUUUUUCAUUUUCAAUUUUUCAAGGAUAAAAUUGCUUCUUGUUCUUUUGAUGUUACUAUGAUUAAGAGUCUUGUGCUGUAAUGAUCUCAGUUAAAAAUAGUAAAACGAAUCUCUUCAGUAUUGUGGUGGACUCUGCACAGUAAAUGCAACAGGAGGCAGGGUCACCUGCCCAUAUAGCUUUGUUUGUAUCAGCCAGUCGAAAUGUCAAGGUGGUUCCUUAUCCACUGGAUAAUUUCACAAUCCUCCUCUUAAUUUGGUUGCUUUGGACACAUUCUAUCCUGGAAACAAAAUCUAGGUUUCAUAAUACAUUCGGAAAUAAUAGAUUCAUGUUCUUUUUUUCCAGCUGGUACUGGUAGAGUUUACACAUUUACUCCUGCACCAUAGGAACAGCUGCUUAAAAAGCUGAAGUGUGUAUUUGAUUCCAUUACAUUGGCACAAUAGAAAGUCACGUAAAAGACGGAGACUCUCUCAGUUUCUCCAUAUUUGGAAAAUUAAUUCCUUUAAGUGCGUUAAAAAAAUCUCUACAGGUGGUCACAUUCUAUGAACUUAGGACCAGAAAUGACCUCAUCACCUUCAGCUGGUCUAAAAAUUGUCUUUGGCUGCUGCACGCUUCACAAAAUCUUGUUAAUUAUGAUUGUUUUUCCUAGUUAUAAGUCCUUCUGGAUACGUUUUUAUAAAGCAUUUAUUUUUAUCACUUACAUAACUACAUAAAAUAUUUUCAUUGGUGUCAAAAUGUCAUGUUAUUGCCAAACACAUUCCAUUUCAAUUUCUAGAAAUUAUUGGAAAGUUAAUACCCACACUUUAAUGGCACCCUUGCUGUAGUAUUAAAUCAUGCUUUACUGAAAUUCACAAGAAUCAUAAUUACACUGCAUCUAUCCAGAAUAAAGCACUAGAACAGUUACUUUUUGACCAUCUUGUCCGUUAAUUACUAUGCAUGCACCUUCUCUUUAGACAAACAAUAAAUGAAAUUUAGUGUCUUUCUAGAACUGAGUUUUCAUGAAAGUGAUUGUCAUAUAUAUACUCAUCAUCUACUUCUCUUUUCAGCACAGUAAUAUUUUAGUUCAAGAAUCGGUAAGUGAAUCUUUUCCCUGGCUUAUAGAACUUCACCCUAUUUAUUUCUAUUUCAAGAAAAGUAAAAAACAUUUUAAAAAGUAAAAUUAGGCAAGAAAAUUGUCUUGCUAGCUAGGCAUUUGGUUUCUCCUUAGAUUUGUUAUUUAAGAAAACUCAGUCUCCCUAGACAUCAUUUCAAGAAUAUAAUUGUUUAGCUGCAAAGCUAUAGUUUUGGGUAGAAAAUUCCCUUUGAGGGUUGCACAUUGAACCCAUAUUUAGAGAACCUGAGAAAUGAGCUUUCAGCAGUAAUCACAUUUACUCUUCUCCCCACAGCCUGGGGUGUCUGGAAGAACAUCCUCCACCAGGAACGCUGGAGGAUGACUGAAGGGCUGAGUCUGAUCCAGUUUGCCAGAAUAGGUCCAUCACCCUGAGGCCCUUUUUUGCCUAGGUCCUGCAUAUUCCAUGCUAUGGACGGAAUUACGUCCCUGUAAAAUUCGUAUUUUGAAGCCUUAACCCCCAGUGUCAUGGUAUUUGGAGAUGGGGCCUUUGGGAGAUAAUUAAGUUUAGACAAGGUCAUGAGGCCAUGGCCUCACCAUGGGAUUAGUACUGUUAAAAGAAGUGGCACCAGAGAGCUUGCUGUGUGUCUCUUUUUCUGCCAUUGUGAGGACACAGGGAGAAGGCGGCCAUCUGCAAGCCAGAAAGAGGGAUCUAGCUCCAACCAUGCUGGUGCAUGAAGACUUCUGGCCUCCAUAACUGUGGAAAUAAAUGUCUGUUGUUGAGCCACUCAGUCUAUGGUAUUUUGUUACUGCAGCAUGAGCUGAGGAUUGGAAUUGGCCCCCAACCUAACAAUGGUUCCGCUUAUGCUUUUUUGACUUUAUGAUGGUACAAAAGUGAAAAGCAUUCAGUAGAAACUCUAAUUGGAGUGCCCAUACGGUCAUCCUGGUUUUUACUUUCAGUAUAGUACUGAAAAAAUUACAUGAGAUAUUCCACACCUUAUAAAAUAGGCUUUGUGUUAGGUGAUGUUGCCCAUCUGUAGGCUGAUGUAAGUAUUCUGAGCGUGUUUCAAGAAGUUUAGGCUAAGCCACGAUAUUCUGUAGAUUCGGUGUAUUAAAUGCAUUUUAAACUUAAGAUAUUUUCAAUUUAUAAUUAGUUUAUUGUGACAUAACCCCAUCACAAGUCAAGGUGUAUCUGUCCAUCCCCCAAGGACAAGAGACUUGGAGCCUGAGCACACAGGGAUGGUGCAAACUCGGAUGUUGAUCCAGGCAGUUCAGGAACACAUGUUUUAAAAUUGGAACUAUUGCCUCAAUUUUCUCUUUCAGUGUGUAAAUAGAACCUCCAAAUAAGAUUAAAUUGAAGAGAAAGUAUUAAAGGGCAGUAUUCCAGUGGAAUCCAUGAACAGUUUCCUUGCACUGACUUGCUAAGGAAGGAAAAUUUUUAAAGUAGUCGUUAUUCUUAAGAAAGUUAAAUUUAUAGUUUAAGUUAUGGUAUAUUUUGUACUGGGCACUGUGCCUUCCUCAUAAUAUUCUUAUUAAAUAUUUGUUGAUUUAAGAUGUUUUUUACUUCAUCACAUGUAUUUAGCAAAGAGUAAAUUCUUAUAAAAGAAUUUUAUCAUAUCCUUGUGACAAAGCAUACUCCAUGCUAAAUGUGGUACUAAUUACUUGAGUGUGAAGGUGAAGAUUUUUCCUGGCAAAUUUGGAACAACGGCUUAAAAAAUAGGUACUACACAGCUGAAGAGUCUUUCUUUCCAGAUUCAACUCAUAUACCUACUAUCUUGCCUUUCCCUAAGCAUAUAUAUUUAAAUUCUAGAAACCGCCACAUUCACUUAUUAAAGCCAAGCAUGUGUCUAAUACUUAUUACACUACAUUUUUAGUUGUAUAAAAUACUGCUUGGAACAAAUAGUCACCCAGGACAGAGGUCCCGAACCCCUGGACCAUGGACUGGUAUUCAUCUGUGGCCUGUUCGUAACUGGGCUGCACAGCAGGAAGUGAGUGGCAAGUAAAUGAGCAUUAGUGAGAUCGGCGGCGGCGUUAGAUUCUCAUAAGAACCCUAUGGUGAACUGCACGUGCAAGGGAUCCAGGUGGUGUGCUUCUUAUGAGACUCUAAUUAAUGCCUGAUGAUUUGAGGUGGAACAGUUUUAUCCUGAAACUAUCCCCUCUGCCUCCUGGCCAUGGAAAAACUUGUCUUUCACGAAACUGGUCCUUGGUGCUAAAAAGGCUGGAGACCACUGAUCUAGGGCAUAGCUAGUUUUCGCCAUAGCUAUGUCAUAACUAGAUGUGUUGAGACAAAAUCUCACCUGUAGAUCUGAGUUGAGCAUAUGAGCCUAUUUCAUUGUGGUAGACAAUUCUGUCUGCCGUGGUCCUCCAAAGAUAUUCACAUCCUAAUCCCCAGAAUCUGUAAAUAUGAUACCUUACAUGGCAAAAGGGAGUUUGUACACAUGAUUAAAUUAAAGAUCUUGAUAUGGAAAGAUUAUCCUGGAUUAACCAGGUGGGUUCAACUUCCAUCCUAUGAGGGAGGAAGAAAGUCAGAAAUAAGAGUAGGAGAUAUGAUGUUUGAGCAGAGGAGAGAGAAAUAGAGAGAUUUGAGGAUGAUACGCUGCUGGUUUUGUUUUGAAGAUGAACGAAGGGGCCCUGAGCCAAGGAAUGCAGGCCACCUCUAGAAGCUGGAAAAGGCAAGGAAAUGGAUUCCCCCAAGAGCCUCCGGAAGGAACACAACCAUGCCAACCCGUUUUAGACUUCUGAUCUCCUGAACUAGGCUGCCACACUCAUCUAGGGGCUGCGUCUACUAAUUGAUGCAUGCAGAACUCAUUACUGUUGAUGGAAGCAAAAACAACAAGGUGGAGUGCCUUCAAUAAGUCAGAGGUUAGACACCCUCUGGCUCAACUUUACUGGCCAGUCUUCAUUAGUCAUUGAAACACAAGUGGAAAGAAGAUAAAUAUCCCUGUUAUUUGAGAGCAAAUCUUCUGAAUAUCCAUUCCAUGAAACUCAGAUACCCUCUCCAGGAACACAAACCCCUGGUGUGAAUUUCCCUUUCUGAGGAUCUGAUAUUAGUAAAGAAGUUAAUUUGGAAAAUGUUGGCUAUCUGAAGAAGACUGACAGAUCAUGAAUGACCUAAUUGGGUCUUGCUGUGUUGCCCAGUGUUGUCCAGGCUGGAGUGCAGUGGCA